ACUCAAAAUGCUGUGGUGGCACGGGCAUUGAAUUGAAUGUCGGAAAUUUUGAAGUCCAAAGUCCUAAGACCGAACGGAACAAAGAUAAAUGUCCUAAAUCACACGAAGAAUAGAAAAAGGGGUUAGGGUGUCCGAAGCUAAAGCUGUAGGAGUGCGUUUAUGAAUCCAAUUUCUAAUGCCAGCAGUAGUAGCUAAAUUCAAUAAGCAACUUCUGGAUUCUGUUAACAGACGAUAUAAUUAGGGUUUGUUUAGAUUAGGGUUCAGGAUUCGUUCAAGCUACCAACCAGGAGGAAUUUUCGACCUUUUAUUGAUGGAAUCCGACACAUGCCAUACCAAGGGAACUGAAUACAAGGAGGCCGAACUAGCUGUUCCUGUAUCAGGUGCUUCUAACAUGAAUGACGGAGACCAUCCCAUUAAUCCGCCAAUUCAGCAAAUUCCUUCUUCCGUGCCAUUGGAGGCUAACUCCAUAACCGAUCACACACAGCAUUCAAAUGCUGAUAACAACAUACAACCACAUUAUUCUCCGGCUCAGCACUCGCCGAGCUCUCUUCCUGUCCCUGAUGAUCAAUCUUCGCUGAAGCCCGCUAUAGAAACCCCUAUCAAUAUAGAAACCCUGAGCAAUACGAUACCAGAAUCCUCUUCUAUUUCUGAUUCCAAGAGCCACGCCGAUUCUAAAACUGACUCCCCUCCUUCCAAUCAUAUUCAUGCUGUUGAAGCUACAACUGAUGCCAAAACUGUAACCUCCUCUGUCUCACCUCCUAAACCCACAGGAAAUGCCAAAACGGAAACUUCUGCAUUACCUCAGAGUGAAACUAAUCAUGACUGUGACCCCACACCAACCAUCCUUAAUGAACCUGAACAGCAUACGCCUUCUCAAUCAUUUCCUGAUAAGGAGAAAGCAGAAGACGUGAAGAAUGAGGUUGAUAAACUGGAGUUGCCUACAACUCCUGCUAAUGGGAACAACAAUUCUGAGUUCUCAUUUUUCUUGGACGACGAUGGCAAUGAAUCGGGAACAGAAGAGGAGCAAUCAGCUUUCAUGAUGCAACUGGAAAGUUUCUUCAAACAGAGAGGCGUGGAGUUUAAGCCCCCUAAAUUUUAUGGUGAAGGGCUGAAUUGCCUUAAGUUGUGGAGAGCUGUUAUUAAAUUGGGUGGCUAUGACCAGGUAACUUCAUGUAAAUUGUGGCGGCAAGUUGGAGAGUCUUUCAAGCCCCCAAAAACCUGUACUACUGUUUCAUGGACAUUUCGUGGUUUCUAUGAAAAGUCACUCCUUGAUUUUGAAAGGCAUAAGAUAUCUGGAGGUGAGUUUAAUAUGCCUAUUUCAUCGCAAUCAGAGGCUAUGAAUGUUGAGAAUCAGGCUUCAGGAUCUGGUAGAGCACGAAGAGAUGCAGCUGCACGUGCUAUGAAGGGUUGGCAUUCACGUCAUUUCCGUAAUGGUGAAGUCAGUGACCCAAUAAUUAAGGAUAAGAAUUCUAUUUCUCAACAAAAGCGUGAAAAACAGCUUAAAAGUCUGGGUUUGCUUAAACGAAAGAAACCAUCAUAUUUGGAUAGUGCUGUCAAGGCUUCAUCUACCAAAGUAUCGAAGGCACAUGUGGAGACAGCAGUGGUUGAUAUUGGAUCCCCAGCAGAUUGGGUUAAGAUCAAUGUGCGGAAAACUAAAGAUUGUUUUGAGGUCUAUGCUUUAGUUCCAGGCCUUCUUCGUGAGGAGGUGCGUGUUCAAUCUGAUCCCGCGGGACGCCUAGUAAUAAGCGGUGAACCUGAGCAUCCGGAUAAUCCUUGGGGUGUCACACCGUUCAAAAAGGUUGUCAGCUUACCCUCGAGGAUUGAUCCGCAUCAAACAUCAGCGGUUGUAACCCUUCAUGGACAGUUGUUUGUACGUGUUCCAUUCGAGCAAAGCUGAUCAGUGGAGGGAAGGCGUGGAUGACUGGGAUCGAUUAAAACCGGUGCCUAAUCUGUGCUUCUGCCUUUAGUUAAUUCAUUUUCACUAGUGGUCUAUGUAGUGUUUGGUUUUAGUUUUCAGUUUAGUGCAGCAGUUUAACUAGUGCCGUCGGAAGCCCUUUCCUUUCUAUAGUUGGACUGUGUGCGAGAUAUGUAUGGUAUGAUUUUGGGGGCUUUGAUUCACGGAGUUGGACUUGUCUUGAAAAUAAAAGAUUAACCCUCACAAAAUUCCCUUGGCUGAUUGAUA